rnacentral:rRNA from 1 species
UCCCUACGGGAGGCAGCAGUGAGGAAUAUUGGUCAAUGGGCGCGAGCCUGAACCAGCCAAGUCGCGUGAGGGAAGACGGUCCUAUGGAUUGUAAACCUCUUUUGUCGGGGAGCAAAAGACGCCACGUGUGGCGUUCCGAGAGUACCCGAAGAAAAAGCAUCGGCUAACUCCGUGCCAGCAGCCGCGGUAAUACGGAGGAUGCGAGCGUUAUCCGGAUUUAUUGGGUUUAAAGGGUGCGCAGGCGGACCAUCAAGUCAGCGGUAAAAUCGUGGGGCCCAACCCCAUCCCGCCGUUGAAACUGGCGG